CGUUCCAGAGGUGCAUUAUAC
rnacentral:miRNA from 1 species